AUUGAACGCUGGCGGCAGGCUUAACACAUGCAAGUCGACCGAGCGGCGGACGGGUGAGUAAUGUCUGGGAAACUGCCUGAUGGAGGGGGAUAACUACUGGAAACGGUAGCUAAUACCGCAUACCAUCAGAUGUGCCCAGAUGGGAUUAGCUAGUAGGGGGGGUAAAGGCUCACCUAGGCGACGAUCCCUAGCUGGUCUGAGAGGAUGACCAGCCACACUGGAACUGAGACACGGUCCAGACUCCUACGGGAGGCAGCAGUGGGGAAUAUUGCACAAUGGGCGCAAGCCUGAUGCAGCCAUGCCGCGUGUGUGAAGAAGGCCUUCGGGUUGUAAAGCACUUUCAGCGGGGAGGCGUUACCCGCAGAAGAAGCACCGGCUAACUCCGUGCCAGCAGCCGCGGUAAUUC
rnacentral:rRNA from 1 species